rnacentral:misc_RNA from 1 species
AGAUACUCUGCUGAUGGUUGCAAAACUUGCUGAUACCAUUCAGCCUUGCUCGCAAGGGCAAGGCGAGUUCUGUCGAGGACUGAUUUCGCAUAUAAUGCCCAGUGAUUGCGUUUACUUUUGGACAUACUUAGGGCAUGAUUCCAUCCCUUCAAGCAAUAGAUAAAAUCUUCAUUAUCAUCUGACGAAAGUGCAAGAUGAAGAUUUUCAAGAACCAGGGUGAUGAAAUACAUAAUUUUCUCUGGUCCAUCAUCAUUUAAUUCCUCAUAUCCUCUCUCAAUGGCUGUCCUCACAGUAGAAUCAAGGGCAAUAUCCAAAAAUAGAAGAUCUUUCAGACGAUUAUUAGACUUAAACAGCAAUGGCCUAAGCUCCUGCCGAGCCUCCAGUAAACCCUCAAGAAGCGCUUCAACAUUUUUAUCUUCAACAUGCUCGAGAACAUAUUGAAGCAAUUCUGGAAAUCCAGAUGGCAAGCCUGAAAUGGGAUUUAUCUGCACUCCAACCAUGAAGCCUUGACCCUCAGCUCUAUAGCCCAUACAAUUUGCAAUAGCAGACUCAAGAUCUGCACCAGAAUGAACUGCCUUUAAAGUUCUCAUAUAGUUUCCGAGAUCACGCAAAAGACCAUCCUUUUGAUCUCUCCUGAAGUUUGGUUCAGAAUGGAUGGCACGAUCAUAACUUAAAAGUCGUUCUUUCGUUAUUCCAUUUUCAUUCAAAGUUUUCCAGUACACACUGAUGUCAAAGUCACUUUUAAUGUGAUCAAUUAACGCCUGGCAGAUUACAACAUCAUCAGGGCUUGUGUUAUUAUGCAGCUUUUGAUGCCAUUCCUCCAUCAUACCACCUUUGCAAUCAUUGUUUCUCUGGAUAACUAAGAUUUCAUCCCGAAUACGCUGUCCCACAUCACCUUCACCACCUCGGCCAACAGUAGAUAUAAUCAUCCGCAAAAGCUCUCGAUACUGUGGAUGACUUGUAUAUAUAUUCUGGAGCAAGUCUGUCAGCCUAUCCUGUGCCUUGCUGAUCUCACGUGGUUUGACAUUGUAGUUUUUGUUCCAAAUAAGUUGCCUCGUGGCCAUAAAUCUCAUCCACACCAAGACUCCUGCAAGACCCAACUCUCCAGCAUCCUUUGCUUGCUCCAUCAAAUCAGCUGCAAUAUUAAAUCGAUGCAUGAAGGACUUCUGUGCUUCACUCCCCAGCUCUGCAAUUCUAUCCAAUAAAACUUUAGCUGUACCUCUUCCAUCAC